rnacentral:rRNA from 1 species
AAACCAGCACCUCAAGUGGUCAGGAGGAUUAUUGGGCCUAAAGCAUCCGUAGCCUGUUCUGUAAGUUUCCGGUUAAAUCCAUUAGCUCAACUAAUGGGCCGCCGAAAAUACUGUAGAACUAGGGAGUGGGAGAGGUAGACGGUAUUCGGUAGGAAGGGGUAAAAUCCUUUGAUCUAUUGAGGACCACCUGUGGCGAAGGCGGUCUACCAGAACACGUUCGACGGUGAGGGAUGAAAGCUGGGGGAGCAAACCGGAUUAGAAACCCCGGUAGUCC